AUGAUUUUGUGCAGACUCGCAUUAAGCCCAAUCCAGAGUCAAGAAUCAGAUAAAACUUGUACUAACCAACUUUGAAUGGAAGCUUCUCUGACAUGUUGACGUUGUGCUGUCUGGUAAUGCCUGAUAUGGUUUGGUUUCAGCCCGGCUGUGGACCUGAGUGAGUGCAGAAGGAGUACCUGGUCUGGAUGGUAAAGACGUUGAGGGCACGUUUGGCAGUGGUACAUUAUCUCCAAUCUCCAGAAGGUUCUUGUCCAACUCUUCCUGCUCCAGUUCCUCCAGUUCAGCUAACAGCUCAUCCUGAAAACAACACACCGUCUGUUAAUACCAAGAAUUGACAUGAUUGUCAAAUCUGACAGGAUUUUAGAGAUCCCACAUAACUUAAUACAGCGUAAUUCUAAUUUUAGGAUGAGCUAAUCUACUUUUUUUGCAUUAAAUACAUCGAAAGUGAUAGUAAAGUAACUCAUAAUAGUGUGAAAGAUGUUAUUUUUAAAACAAAUUUUGUACUAAACUUUAUAUUUAUCAAAAAUUAAUAAACAUUU
rnacentral:lncRNA from 1 species